rnacentral:misc_RNA from 1 species
UUUCCGUAGGUGAACCUGCGGAAGGAUCAUUCAUAAUAAGUGUUUUAUGGCACUUUUUUAAAUCCAAAUCCACCUUGUGUGCAAUGUCAGGGUUGAUUUUUCUCUCGAGAGGAUCAACCCCAAACAUCAACUAUAUCUCAACUCUUUGUCUGAAAAAUAUUAUGAAUAAAACAAUUCAAAAUACAACUUUCAACAACGGAUCUCUUGGCUCUC